rnacentral:rRNA from 1 species
GACGAACGCUGGCGGCGUGCUUAACACAUGCAAGUCGAACGAGCGGCGGACGGGUGAGUAAUGUAUGGGGAUCUGCCCGAUAGAGGGGGAUAACUACUGGAAACGGUGGCUAAUACCGCAUACUAUCGGAUGAACCCAUAUGGGAUUAGCUAGUAGGUGGGGUAAAGGCUCACCUAGGCGACGAUCUCUAGCUGGUCUGAGAGGAUGAUCAGCCAAACUGGAACUGAGACACGGCCCAGACUCCUACGGGAGGAAGAAGUGGGGAAUAUUGCACAAUGGGCGCAAGCCUGAUGCAGCCAUGCCGCGUGUAUGAAGAAGGCCUUAGGGUUGUAAAGUACUUUCAGCGGGGAGGCGUUACCCGAAGAAGAAGCACCGGCUAACUCCGUGCCAGCCGCCGCGGUAAUAC